AACACCUGUUUUACUUCGAUUGCUGUCGAACUGAGUGGAGAUGGAAAUAUUAUUAAGGGUAUAUGCUUUGGAAUAUGAAUGUCGUUUGGUUUAGUAAAAGACAGAGGCAACGUAUGAGACAAAAAGCGUAAUUUGAAAAGCAGAAUAAACAAUGAUGAUUUAUGCAUCGCUUAAUAAAACAAAAACCUACAGAGUUGAAGAGGUUCGCCGGCUCCUUAAGAAAAACAAGUUUUAUGCUAAGUUAUUCUCCACUGAAACGUUGAAACUGACCUUCUCCACACAUGGUGGAUGCCAACAAUUGUCGAUAUUUGUCUGGAGCUUUGAUUCUGCUGCGAUAAGGAUAUUAUUUGCCCUCUGCUGACAUCAGUCUUUUGCCGUCGUUUUGCACUGAAUACCAAAGAUAAAAAGUGCAUGGCAAUCCAAUAAGGAAUAGCGUAUUAACUCAAACUUAAAGCAAAGCUGAGGUAGCAACUACCUGACCCGGUUAUUUAUGCCCCAUACUAAAUAUAUACCUCAUUAGAGAUAACUGAACAUGUUACGUAUAAUAUACGUACAAGGUUGUAUACCACGAUUUGAUAUUUAUAAUGAAAAUACAUUACGUUCGUAGGUAUUUUACGCUUUUCAUAAAAUAACUUCUUACAAAUUAAUUACAAUAAGUUUAAAACCUAUUCGAAGACUUUGAAGAUAACAGCAACUUCCAUAAGAAAAAUAUAUGCAUGUUUAAAAAACAACGUUGUACGUCUCCUGAACAAAGCUUAAAUACUGUUCAGCAAAGGUAGUGAUAUUCAAUCAUGUAAGUCUCGGCCGGAGAACAUUGACGUACGGUCUGCUAAACAAAGUAUAAAUAUUAUUUGGCGCAAUGUCGGACCGAAGUAUGUAUUUACUGUGCCGGACCAAGCCCGCCAACUCAAUUUCGAAACUUUUUUGCAAGAUCAUCCGAAUACGUUGAAAACUUUCAAUCUGAAGAUGAAAGUUACAACUUUUGUGCAACUUUUGUUCAUGUAA